rnacentral:rRNA from 1 species
CAGUAGCCAGGUAAUACGUAGGGUGCGAGCGUUAAUCGGAAUUACUGGGCGUAAAGCGUGCGCAGGCGGUUUUGUAAGACAGGCGUGAAAUCCCCGGGCUCAACCUGGGAAUGGCGCUUGUGACUGCAAAGCUAGAGUGCGGCAGAGGGGGAUGGAAUUCCGCGUGUAGCAGUGAAAUGCGUAGAUAUGCGGAGGAACACCGAUGGCGAAGGCAAUCCCCUGGGCCUGCACUGACGCUCAUGCACGAAAGCGUGGGGAGCAAACAGGAUUAGAUACCCCUGUAGUCCCUGUCUCUUAUACA